rnacentral:rRNA from 1 species
CUCGUAGGCGGUUCGUCGCGUCCGGUGUGAAAGUCCAUCGCUUAACGGUGGAUCCGCGCCGGGUACGGGCGGGCUUGAGUGCGGUAGGGGAGACUGGAAUUCCCGGUGUAACGGUGGAAUGUGUAGAUAUCGGGAAGAACACCAAUGGCGAAGGCAGGUCUCUAGGCCGUCACUGACGCUGAGGAGCGAAAGCGUGGGGAGCGAACA